GCCACUGACAGAAUUGAAGGGCCGCGGUAUAUUGACCGUGCAAAGGUAGCAUAAUCAUUAGUCUUUUAAUUGGAGGCUUGUAUGAAGGGUUUGACGAGAAAUUAGCUGUCUUUAAUUGAUGUGUAGAAUUUAACUUUUGAGUCAGAAGGCUUAAAUGGAUAUAAAAGACGAGAAGACCCUAUAGAGCUUUAUAUACGUGUUAAUUUGUUUUAAUUAGUUGUAGUUGUGAUAUAAUUUUCAUGUUUAUUGUGUUGGGGUGACAUAAAGAAAUAUCUAACUCUUUAUAUUGAUAACAUUGAUUUAUGAUAAAUUGAUCCAAUAUUAUUGAUUGUAAGAUUAAGUUACCUUAGGGAUAACAGCGUAAUUUUUUUUGAGAGUUCAUAUCGACAAAAUAGAUUGCGACCUCGAUGUUGGAUUAAGGAAGAUGAUUAGGUGUAGCCGUUUAAUUAAUAGGUCUGUUCGACCUUUAAAUCCUUACAUGAUCUGAGUUC
rnacentral:rRNA from 1 species